AUUGAACGCUGGCGGCAGGCCUAACACAUGCAAGUCGAGCGAGCGGCGGACGGGUGAGUAAUGUCUGGGAAACUGACUGAUGGAGGGGGAUAACUACUGGAAACGGUAGCUAAUACCGCAUACCAUCAGAUGUGCCCAGAUGGUAUUAGCUAGUAGGUGGGGUAACGGCUCACCUAGGCGACGAUCCCUAGCUGGUCUGCGAGGAUGAGCAGCCACACUGGGACUGAGACACGGCCCAGACUCCUACGGGAGGCAGCAGUGGGGAAGAGUGCACAAUGGGCGCAAGCCUGACCCAGCCAUGCCGCGUGUGUGAAGAAGGCCUUCGGGUUGUAAAGCACUGUCAGCGGGGAGGCGUUACCUGCAGAAGAAGCACCGGCUAACUCCGUGCCAGCAGCCGCGGUAAUUC
rnacentral:rRNA from 1 species